AGAAUCAACGCUGGCGGCGUGCCUAACACAUGCAAGUCGCACGAGAAAGGGGAGGCAAUCCCUGAGUACAGUGGCGCACGGGUGAGUAACACGUGAAUAAGUCUACCUCCGAGUGGGGAAUAACUGAGAGAAAUCUUAGCUAAUACCGCAUAAUACCCACGGGUCAAAGGCAGCAAUGCGCUUGGAGAGGAGUUCGCGGCAGAUUAGUUAGUUGGCGGGUAAUGGCCCACCAAGACGAUGAUCUGUA
rnacentral:rRNA from 1 species